AUUCAAUGUCUGGAGCACGCGUCGGCCACUCCACCUCGGGCGCUCUGAAGCCGGCCGCAUGGAGACUGGGGGACGGUGGUAGGAUGGUCCUAGACCCCUUCCCUCUGUUUCUGCAACCUUGGUGAAUUGAAAAGGGAUCAAUAUCCUUUAUCAGCUCUACCAUACCAGAUGGCCAAGGGACAGUGGAAAAAUGGCAGGGCAGACCCCCUUGGAUUUGCCCACGUGGAGUUUGGAUAUUUACCUGGCUUCUUUGUCAAGUCUUGGGCCUGAUGCAGGUUGCAGACGUAUGGCCACCGGUUCAUGUAGUCAACAGGUCAGGGGGGCUGUUGCCACCGAAGGAAGGGGGAUAGUGCUGACAAGACUGAUGGUAAUGAUGACAUCUAACGUACAUGGAGCAGCUCUAUCUGCCAGACACUAAGAGGAGAAUGAAGAGAAGGAGGCAGGAUGUGUCAAUGUCCGAUGGACCACCUUACCAUCUGGGGAAGAGGGAUGCCUCUAGUGAGAUGAGAAGGGGAAGAGCAAAAUCCCAAGUCCAAAGGACAUUGUGGAGGAAGGGAUUCUACUGGAGAGGCUCCACGUGGCUCAUCCCUUACAAGGAGAAUUGUGUUGCUGCAGAUGGCGAGCUGGCUCAGUGGGGGAAGAUGCUAGCCAUCAAGCCCCAUGACCUCAGUUUGAUUCC
rnacentral:lncRNA from 1 species